rnacentral:siRNA from 1 species
AUAAGCCAACACAUCGUCACA